UGCGUAGGCGGAAAAUUAAGUCAGUGAUGAAAUCCUGCAGCUCAACUGUAGAACUGUCAUUGAUACUGAUUUUCUUGAAUUUAGUUGAGGUAGGCGGAAUGUGUAAUGUAGCGGUGAAAUGCUUAGAUAUUACACAGAACACCGAUUGCGAAGGCAGCUUACUAAGCUAACAUUGACGCUGAGGCACGAAAGCGUGGGGAGCGAACAGGAUUAGAUACCCUGGUAGUCC
rnacentral:rRNA from 1 species